rnacentral:lncRNA from 1 species
GGCAGUGCAGAUCUCAGUCUCUUGGCCUCUCAGUAGUUUGGCACAUCUCUGGCCCUGGGUUGUUUGACAGGAUCCCUGUGCUCACUGGGACAUGAGGAAAAGUCCUCACUUCCCCAACAAACCUCUUGAUUCUGAUUCUUCCAAAACAAACUUUCUUUUUGUGAUGUGAGUUAACAGAAAAGUGAGGUCAGAUUAUGGGAUUCUGUGACCACUGAAACUUACAUGAAUAUAGUUUGAACCAUUUCCUAGAUUGACUGUACCAGAAAUAACCGAAAAGCACACCAAAAGCAUAGGGCGUUUUGUUUCGUUGUUACAGGAAUACAGUAUAUGUUCAUUUGAAAAUGAAUGGACAUGCCAAUUGCGUCUCCAUAGGAGAUAGAUUUUAUAUACUUCGGUGUGUUUUUUUCACUAUGAAUUUUUACUUGUUUUUUCCACUUCUUUCUCUGCCAUUCCGUGUCCUCCCGUCUUUUAUAUUUCUUUUGUACUUGCGUGAGGCAAAGUGUCCACAUCCUGGAUCUUGAAAUGGAACCAUAACACUGUCACUAGGGUCCUCUGGGAAUUAGGAAACACAUUGGAGCUAUUGGCAUGUUGUGUAACAUGCUUCCUAGAGUUGUCAUGCCUUCGGCCACUAUUUUAUUUUGUGGCUAUAUUUUCCUUUCACAGGUGAGUUCUAUCUGUGUUAGCUAAGAUUUUGCCCUUCCAUCCUCUUCAGGAUGACUAAGCUACUUAAGUAUUUUGAGUUUGCAUUAAAGCUCUUGAACCUUGCUUGUAUCGUUGAGCCACUCUGCUCCGAAGUCUGCAGUCAUUUCUUAGCCCUUAUCAAAUGCAUAUUUUGUGUCUUUCUCUGAGCCCUUCUCCUACUUCUCCCUAGCAGGGACGUCAAUUUAAGUUUCUUCAGUCUUUCAAGACCCUGACACUAAAAUCUUAAAACUAAGGUCUACUUCACUGUCUUCUUUAAAUCCUUACGAAGCUUCAAAUCUGUACUAAAAUUCUUAUACCAAAUCAUAUAUUGUCUUGUACUGUUCUUAGCUGCUACAUGUAUGUUAGUUUUGUUUCCCUCAUGAGAAUGUAAGCUCCUUAAGGGCAGGGACUAUGUCUUAAUUUUUGUAUCCACCACAGUGCCUAGCACUGUGCUUGGCACAUGGGUGCUGAAUAAAUACUUUUGUUUAUUGAUCAGC